rnacentral:rRNA from 1 species
UACGGAGGGGGCUAGCGUUGUUCGGAAUUACUGGGCGUAAAGCGCGCGUAGGCGGCUUUGUAAGUUAGAGGUGAAAGCCCGGGGCUCAACCCCGGAAUUGCCUUUAAGACUGCAUCGCUAGAAUUGUGGAGAGGUAAGUGGAAUUCCGAGUGUAGAGGUGAAAUUCGUAGAUAUUCGGAAGAACACCAGUGGCGAAGGCGACUUACUGGACACAUAUUGACGCCGAGGUGCGAAAGCGUGGGGAGCAAACAGG